GACGAACGCUGGCGGCGUGCUUAACACAUGCAAGUCGAACGGAAAGGCUCCAGCUUGCUGGAGUACUCGAGUGGCGAACGGGUGAGUAACACGUGGGUAAUCUGCCCUGCACUCUGGGAUAAGCCUGGGAAACUGGGUCUAAUACUGGAUAUGACCUUUCUCCUUAUGGGGUUUGGUGGAAAGUUUUUCGGUGUAGGAUGAGCCCGCGGCCUAUCAGCUUGUUGGUGGGGUGAUGGCCUACCAAGGCGACGACGGGUAGCCGGCCUGAGAGGGUGAUCGGCCACAUUGGGACUGAGAUACGGCCCAGACUACUACGGGAGGCAGCAGUGGGGAAUAUUGCACAAUGGGCGGAAGCCUGAUGCAGCGACGCCGCGUGAGGGAUGACGGCCUUCGGGUUGUAAACCUCUUUCAGCAGGGACGAAGCGUAAGUGACGGUACCUGCAGAAGAAGCACCGGCUAACUACGUG
rnacentral:rRNA from 1 species